GCGAUACAGGGUGACAGCCCCGUACACAAAAAUGCACAUGCUGUGAGCUCGAUGAGUAGGGCGGGACACGUGGUAUCCUGUCUGAAUAUGGGGGGACCAUCCUCCAAGGCUAAAUACUCCUGACUGACCGAUAGUGAACCAGUACCGUGAGGGAAAGGCGAAAAGAACCCCGGCGAGGGGAGUGAAAAAGAACCUGAAACCGUGUACGUACAAGCAGUGGGAGCACGCUUAGGCGUGUGACUGCGUACCUUUUGUAUAAUGGGUCAGCGACUUAUAUUCUGUAGCAAGGUUAACCGAAUAGGGGAGCCGAAGGGAAACCGAGUCUUAACUGGGCGUUAAGUUGCAGGGUAUAGACCCGAAACCCGGUGAUCUAGCCAUGGGCAGGUUGAAGGUUGGGUAACACUAACUGGAGGACCGAACCGACUAAUGUUGAAAAAUUAGCGGAUGACUUGUGGCUGGGGGUGAAAGGCCAAUCAAACCGGGAGAUAGCUGGUUCUCCCCGAAAGCUAUUUAGGUAGCGCCUCGUGAAUUCAUCUCCGGGGGUAGAGCACUGUUUCGGCAAGGGGGUCAUCCCGACUUACCAACCCGAUGCAAACUGCGAAUACCGGAGAAUGUUAUCACGGGAGACACACGGCGGGUGCUAACGUCCGUCGUGAAGAGGGAAACAACCCAGACCGCCAGCUAAGGUCCCAAAGUCAUGGUUAAGUGGGAAACGAUGUGGGAAGGCCCAGACAGCCAGGAUGUUGGCUUAGAAGCAGCCAUCAUUUAAAGAAAGCGUAAUAGCUCACUGGUCGAGUCGGCCUGCGCGGAAGAUGUAACGGGGCUAAACCAUGCACCGAAGCUGCGGCAGCGACGCUUAUGCGUUGUUGGGUAGGGGAGCGUUCUGUAAGCCUGCGAAGGUGUGCUGUGAGGCAUGCUGGAGGUAUCAGAAGUGCGAAUGCUGACAUAAGUAACGAUAAAGCGGGUGAAAAGCCCGCUCGCCGGAAGACCAAGGGUUCCUGUCCAACGUUAAUCGGGGCAGGGUGAGUCGACCCCUAAGGCGAGGCCGAAAGGCGUAGUCGAUGGGAAACAGGUUAAUAUUCCUGUACUUGGUGUUACUGCGAAGGGGGGACGGAGAAGGCUAUGUUGGCCGGGCGACGGUUGUCCCGGUUUAAGCGUGUAGGCUGGUUUUCCAGGCAAAUCCGGAAAACUAAGGCUGA
rnacentral:rRNA from 1 species